rnacentral:rRNA from 1 species
GUGGGGAAUUUUGGACAAUGGGCGCAAGCCUGAUCCAGCAAUGCCGCGUGCAGGAAGAAGGCCUUCGGGUUGUAAACUGCUUUUGUACGGAACGAAACGGUCCGGGUUAAUACCCUGGGCUAAUGACGGUACCGUAAGAACAAGCACCGGCUAACUACGUGCCAGCAGCCGCGGUAAUACGUAGGGUGCAAGCGUUAAUCGGAAUUACUGGGCGUAAAGUGUGCGCAGGCGGUUUUGUAAGACAGGCGUGAAAUCCCCGGGCUCAACCUGGGAAUUGCGCUUGUGACUGCAAGGCUGGAGUGCGGCAGAGGGGGAUGGAAUUCCGCGUGUAGCAGUGAAAUGCGUAGAUAUGCGGAGGAACACCGAUGGCGAAGGCAAUCCCCUGGGCCUGCACUGACGCUCAUGCACGAAAGCGUGGGGAGCAAACAGGAUUAGAUACCCCGGUAGUCC